UGGGGAAUAUUGCGCAAUGGGCGAAAGCCUGACGCAGCGACGCCGCGUGAGGGACGACGGCCUUCGGGUUGUAAACCUCUUUCAGCAGGGAAGAAGGGAAACUGACGGUACCUGCAGAAGAAGCACCGGCUAACUACGUGCCAGCAGCCGCGGUAAUACGUAGGGUGCAAGCGUUGUCCGGAUUUAUUGGGCGUAAAGAGCUCGUAGGCGGUCUGUCGCGUCGGAUGUGAAACCCCGGGGCUUAACUCCGGGCCUGCAUUCGAUACGGGCAGACUAGAGUGUGGUAGGGGAGACUGGAACUCCUGGUGUAGCGGUGAAAUGCGCAGAUAUCAGGAAGAACACCGGUGGCGAAGGCGGGUCUCUGGGCCACUACUGACGCUGAGGAGCGAAAGCGUGGGGAGCAAACA
rnacentral:rRNA from 1 species